rnacentral:rRNA from 1 species
AGAGUUUGAUCCUGGCUCAGGAUGAACGCUGGCGGCGUGCUUAACACAUGCAAGUCGAACGAACCUUCGGGUUAGUGGCGGACGGGUGAGUAACGCGUGAGAAUCUGCCCUCAGGAGGGGGAUAACGGCUGGAAACGGCCGCUAAUACCCCAUAUGCCGAGAGGUGAAAUGAAUUUCGCCUGAGGAUGAGCUCGCGUCUGAUUAGCUAGUUGGUGUGGUAAAGGCUCACCAAGGCAUCGAUCAGUAGCUGGUCUGAGAGGAUGAUCAGCCACACUGGGACUGAGACACGGCCCAGACUCCUACGGGAGGCAGCAGUGGGGAAUUUUCCGCAAUGGGCGCAAGCCUGACGGAGCAACGCCGCGUGAGGGAUGAAGGCCUCUGGGCUGUAAACCUCUUUUAUCAAGGAAGAAGAUCUGACGGUACUUGAUGAAUAAGCCACGGCUAAUUCCGUGCCAGCAGCCGCGGUAAUACGGGAGUGGCAAGCGUUAUCCGGAAUUAUUGGGCGUAAAGCGUCCGCAGGCGGUCUUGAAAGUCUGUUGUUAAAGCGUGGAGCUCAACUCCAUUUCAGCAAUGGAAACUAGAAGACUAGAGUGUGGUAGGGGCAGAGGGAAUUCCCGGUGUAGCGGUGAAAUGCGUAGAUAUCGGGAAGAACACCAGUGGCGAAGGCGCUCUGCUGGGCCAUAACUGACGCUCAUGGACGAAAGCCAGGGGAGCGAAAGGGAUUAGAUACCCCUGUAGUCCUGGCCGUAAACGAUGAACACUAGGUGUCGGGGGAAUCGACCCCCUCGGUGUCGUAGCCAACGCGUUAAGUGUUCCGCCUGGGGAGUACGCACGCAAGUGUGAAACUCAAAGGAAUUGACGGGGGCCCGCACAAGCGGUGGAGUAUGUGGUUUAAUUCGAUCCAACGCGAAGAACCUUACCAGGGUUUGACAUCCUGCGAAUCCCUUGGAAACUUGGGAGUGCCUUCGGGAGCGCAGUGACAGGUGGUGCAUGGCUGUCGUCAGCUCGUGUCGUGAGAUGUUGGGUUAAGUCCCGCAACGAGCGCAACCCACGUCUUUAGUUGCCAGCAUUAAGUUGGGCACUCUAGAGAGACUGCCGGUGAUAAACCGGAGGAAGGUGUGGAUGACGUCAAGUCAUCAUGCCCCUUACAUCCUGGGCUACACACGUACUACAAUGCUACGGACAAAGGGCAGCAAACUCGCGAGAGCUAGCAAAUCCCAUAAACCGUGGCUCAGUUCAGAUCGUAGGCUGCAACUCGCCUACGUGAAGGAGGAAUCGCUAGUAAUCGCAGGUCAGCAUACUGCGGUGAAUACGUUCCCGGGCCUUGUACACACCGCCCGUCACACCAUGGAAGUUGGCCACGCCCGAAGUCGUUACUCCAACCCGCAAGGGAGGAGGAUGCCGAAGGUGGGGCUGAUGACUGGGGUGAAGUCG